GAUGCAAUAUGCAACGUUUCGCUGCUGCUACCCUCCUCCUCAUCCCUUUAUUCAAUGUGCAACAAUUUGCGUGAACAAUGUGUUGUCACAAGGAACGGACGGACAGGGUUUGGUUUGGUUUUUUAGACUUGUUUAGCUCCUACUUGGUCGUGUAGCUGGGCUGGUUUUAACCAAGCAAAGCCAGAAGAGAGAGUUCAGCUUCAUGGCAUGACAGGCACCAAGGAUGAUGAUCAUCAUCAUCAGCAUCCAUCGGCGGACGGAUGCGCCACUUUCUAAUGCCCAGAUUCGUGCGUUGGUCUCAUUUCUUUAUAGUUGUGAAACCUGGUCUGCAGAAUUGUAGACGAGUUAAUGCCGUAUAUGUGCUGCAUAAUAGUCCGCACAGCACGGCAUACAUGUACAUUGUCACAGAAGGGCAGAGAGAAUCGUCACGCCUGUUGUGUCGAAGCACACACACAGCAAAGCAGAAAAUCCCACAUAUCUGUCCUGACUUGGUAUUGAUACAGCUCUGCCUGGGAGGAACUCGUUUUUAACUGUGCUAAAUUAAUGGAGUCGGGUGGAAUGAAAUAAUGAUCAUGAUAAUCAUAAUGGAUGGAGUUCAUUUUCCGUCCCCCAUCCUCCCUCUUCUUCUGGAUUGUCGGGCAGAUUUAACAACUGGGCAUAAAUCCAUCCUGUGUCCACUCUCUGAAUCUAUUUCCUAUGCGGAAACGGGAAAUGGCAGAAUGUGUAUGUACAUGCAUGCUGCGCAGAUUGGAUGAAAUAAUGAACAACAAACAUUUCAGGAUUCCAGUUACAAAAUUCAAGUGGAGAUGAGAUGAGACCAGACCACAGAAUUCGAGAUGCGGAAUAACACAUUGUACUGCGAUGCUGCUGCCUGGAUUUAUAAUAUUAAUAUUAUUUUAUGCAGUACUGCUGGAUUUGGUUCUCGGUUCGUUUCGGAGUGCAGCAGGCGGAGGAGUGUGUUGCACGAAUCUCAUCAUCAUGGAAUGGAAUUUAAGAAGGCAAUGACCGGUUUAGCUCGCACUAAAAACUGCUCGAAUCAUCUCACUCUGUGCUCGUCUCUACUGACACGCCACCAUAAACCACUUGUUGUUCGCUUCUCGUGGGUGGUGGGUGGGUGGUUAGAUUAGAAUGAUGCUGGAUGGACGAGGUGAUACAUAUUCUGCCCUCCCGGAUGGCUUAUGAAUUUUUGCAAGCUCAUCUCCAGGCAGGUCGAAUGUAUGAUAAGUGCGACCACCCUCCCAUUUCCGUCUUGAUCGGGAUGAUGAUCGGCAAUGCUGACGAUUCCCCCCGUCACGAAUCCUGAAGUGGUCCUCAUCAUUUGCAACUCCGUUUGAAGGACUUGGAACACAUACUCACACUUGUGGUGACGAAGGGUCGAAGUUCCUUGAGAUUUUGACCUCUCUUCCUCACCUGUACAUGUACACCAUCAGGCAGCCCAUGCAGGCAACGACGUCCCGACAGAAUCGACCAUCAGCCAGUUGCACCCGACCAAAGUAUUUCCACACGUCGGACCUGGUCUUCUUCUCGGAUUCCGUGACCA